CGUCCACCACAAUACGCAUGGAUGGCGCGGCUGCCCGCCUGCUACGCGUCGCUGACACCCACAACGCCUCCCAGGUCCCCGGCGUCGGCUUUGCCUGACCACGGAGAAGCGCCUGGACAGCGCCAGCGCUCCUCGGUGCCACGCAUCGGUUUCUUCCGGACAUCCACUUCCAACGGCCAGCAUCGGCUUCGGCCGGCAGCGGAUGCCCUCCACACCCACCCCGCGCCCGUCACAUCUCCUCCUAGGAUCUUGCUGCUAAUCCUCGUCUAGCCCCUCCUUCCUUUGCUUCGGCAUGGAGCCCGACGAGCCGUUCAGCGUGUCUUGCAGUGGCAGAGUACAAAAUCCGCCAGAAUGAUUCACGACUGGUCUAACUGCUCCCCACGGCAAGAGAUUAAGUCCCAGAACUAAGGUUACUUUUGUCUAGAUUAUGGGGUAAAAAAACUUUUGUAUGGAUUAGUUCUCUUCCAAUGAUUCUCAUGUUUAAUGUUGUGAGUCACUUCCACAUAUGUGCACACCCGAGAGUGUUGACAAGUAUAGGUCUGAACAGUUGAAGGAAGAUGAUACAAAAAUAGUUGAAGGAAGGUCAACAUAUUUUUCCAUCCAAUUCUCAUUAGCCUUCCAUGGACCUAAAAAUAUUACUAUGAAACAAGAUACAUAUUGUUUAAAAAUUGCCAAAAUUCCAAUGGAUAAACAGUAGGGCUCAUCACUCUUUAUGUUUGCUAA